GACGAACGCUGGCGGCGUGCUUAACACAUGCAAGUCGAACGGUGACCCAGGGCUUGCCCUGGUGAUCAGUGGCGAACGGGUGAGUAACACGUGGGCAACCUGCCCCUGACUUCGGGAUAACUCCUCGAAAGAGGAGCUAAUACCGGAUACGACCACUUCGGACAUCCGAUGGUGGUGGAAAGUUUUUCGGUUCAGGGAUGGGCCCGCGGCCUAUCAGCUAGUUGGUGGGGUAAUGGCCUACCAAGGCGACGACGGGUAGCCGGCCUGAGAGGGCGACCGGCCACACUGGGACUGAGACACGGCCCAGACUCCUACGGGAGGCAGCAGUGGGGAAUAUUGCGCAAUGGGCGAAAGCCUGACGCAGCGACGCCGCGUGAGGGAUGAAGGCCUCGGUUGUAAACCGUCUUCUAGCAGGACGAAGCGAAAGUGACGGUA
rnacentral:rRNA from 1 species